rnacentral:lncRNA from 1 species
UUCCAAGCUCAACUACCACCUACUUUCUGGGUUGAAGCUAUGCAUACCGUUGUUCAUAUCUUAAAUAUCCUUCCCUCAAAAGCUAUCAAAAACAAAACACCUUGUACCAAACUUUUCUCCAAAGCUCCCUCCUACACUCACCUUCGCACGUUUGGGUGUCUUUGCUACCCUAACAUAAACCAUUCCCAUACACCAAAAUUAUCACCUCGAUCCUCUCCUUGCAUCUUCCUCGGUUACCCCCUUAACCAAAAAGGGUACCGUUGCUUCGAUCUUACUACCAAAAAGAUCAUCAUCUCCAGACACGUUAACUUUGAUGAAACGUGCUUCCCUUAUCCUUCUUCAAAAACCGAGAAGUCGCCAACUUAUGACUUCCUCGACAAAGACACAGGACCCUCUCCUCUGUUUCGUGCAAUUCUUCAAAAUCAGUCCUCCACUACCCCUCCUACUCCAGCUGUGAUACCCACUGUAUCACCGCAGCCAACUCAAGUUGUACCACCAACUAAUGAGGCUCCAAGGCACACCAUGACAACAAGAUCAAAACAUGGUAUUAAAAAGCCUAAACAGACUGUCUCCCUCUUAUCAGAAUCCAAAUCACCUCUACCAAAAAGCUAUCUUGAUGCUCUCAAAGAUCCAAAUUGGAACCCGUCUAUGAAUGACGAGUACGAUGCUAUUAUUAAAAGUGAUACUUUUGAUCUUGUUCCGAGACCACCUAACACUAACAUCGUGCGUUCAAUGUGGCUACAUAAGCAUAAAUACAAUGCAGAUGGCACUUUUAAGAAACACAAAUCGAGGCUGGUUGCAAAUGGGAAAUCACAGGAAGAGGGCAUAGAUUUCACUGAGACUUACAGCCCCGUCGUCAAGCCUGCCACGAUCCGUCUGGUGCUACAUCUCGCACUAGCUAACUCUUGGCCAAUCAACCAACUUGACGUCCAGAAUGCUUUUCUUCAUGGCAACCUUGACGAGACCGUCUACAUGUUUCAACCCCCCGGUUUUGUUGAUGAAACAAAGCCGAAACAUGUCUGCAGACUUAAGCGAUCCAUAUAUGGUCUCAAACAAGCGCCAAGAGCUUGGAAUGCUCGGUUUGUUGCUUUUAUAACUCAACAUGGGUUUAACCAAUCUAAAAGCGACACAAGCUUGUUCAUCUACAGGAAAGGAGCAGAUCGCGCAUAUCUCUUGCUGUAUGUCGACGACAUCAUCGUGACAGCUUCCUCACCAACACUUCGAGACAGAACCAUAGACGCGCUUAAAAAUGAGUUCCCGAUGACAGACUUGGGACAAAUCAGCUCCUUCCUCGGCGUCUCAGCAAUCUUCAACAACAAAGGUCUAUUUCUGAAUCAAUCUAGAUAUGCUGAAGAAAUCAUAGAACGAGCAGGUAUGAAAGACUGUAAGCCCUGCACCACACCAGUAGAUAUGCAAUCAAAACUCUCGGAUAAAGAAGGCUCACCGCUGUCUAAUCCAACAGAGUAUAGAAGCUUGGCUGGAUCUCUCCAAUACCUCACUUUCACCAGGCCUGACAUAUCUUACGCGGUACAACAGAUUUGCCUCUUUAUGCACGACCCUCGAGAGCCUCAUAUGAAAGCACUCCGACGAAUUCUUCGGUACAUACAAGGCACAUCCCACCAUGGUCUCCAACUACUCAAGCAUCAAGGGCUGUCUUUGGUAACGUACACUGAUGCCGACUGGGCAGGCUGUCCAACCACCAGGCGCUCCACGUCAGGCUUCUGCGUCUUCUUAGGAGACAAUCUAAUCUCCUGGUCCGCCAAACGACAACCAACAGUUUCACGGUCAAGCGCAGAAGCAGAGUAUAAAGGAGUUGCCAAUGCAGUUGCAGAGACUUGCGGCAUACGAAAUCUACUCUUCGAAAUGGACUUCCCGCUCAAACAAGCUUCGAUCAUCUAUUGUGACAACAUUAGUGCAGUCUACUUGUCAUCAAAUCCGGUACAGCAUCAACGGACCAAACACAUAGAGAUGGACAUCCAUUUCGUACGAGAAAAGGUACAAAUGGGGCAAGAUCGUGUCAUUCAUGUGCCUUCGUCAUUACAGUACGCGGAUAUAUUUACAAAGGGACUUCCUUCAUCAAUCUUCACCAACUUCAGGUCCAGUUUAGGCGUCUCAGAACCCGACGCUGCAACUUCGGGAGGGUGAAAGAUACUUGAUAAUAUUCUUCUGAAUAUUCUCUAGUUUGUUAUACGAUUGUUACGUAACUGAUGGGAAGAUCCCUAACUUGUAGCUAUCCCUUUGUACUUUAAAUAUUGACGUGAAUACAACUCAAAGAUUCAAGGGAAACUCAUACUCUUUCACUAACCAGCAAACUCAAAAGAAGAGUGAUAUUUUCAGCUCCGCGGGAGAGCAAAUCGGAAUUCAUGAGAGCCGCGAUUGGCGUUAGAGCGCCAAGAAGAGUUUCUAAGGCACCUCGAACCUGGACAGAACAAUACAAUAAGUUAACACAUAGCAAAAGUGCACAACACAGUCAGAUCAACAAGAAACUCAAUAACAAACUCUGUAUAAUCUCACGGUACCAGAAGAUGCACCGGCUAAUUAUAUUUCGAGCAGCGAUGAGGAGGAAGAUGAAAACAGGGUAGUAUCUGCAUCUCAACAACAAAGAUUCAGUAACAAUAAUAGUUCAAGAGAUGGAAAGACAAAUAGUGGAAAACAAAAGGAUGCGGAUUGGGAAUUUGGGCUUGUAUUCUUCAAAGGCAGAAUACAUAUGCCAUUCUUGUAUUGCCAAAUCGAUAUUAACCAGUAGACCAAAUGAUGGUUCAAAAGAUCAUUACCUCCAUGUUUUCUUUUUUUUUUCUUUUACAGCUAUAUGAUAUGGCUACCAAAAAUAAAGUUUUAUACUUUGUAAGUUUUUAAAAUGUAAAACGGAUUAGCUCUGUGUCUUAUAAAACGUAAAACGGAUAAUGCGUUUAAAAUGUAAGUUUUUAAAAUGUAAAAUAUGAAAUUACAUAUUUUAAGUAUUUAUUAGGUUUAGAAUACUCAUUUUAGCGUGUUUUAAUUCAAAAUUUUGGAUUCAUUUUUUACAAAUAGGAUCAGACUCAGGGGUCUUAGUUCAGGUUCAAUUCGGAUAUCAGAUUCGGUUACAAAUGCCCAAACCUAUCCAUAACAGCCAGCUACAAAACUCCAUUAACAGAGAAACAUAAACGCAUUAUCAGCAGAACGAUUGAAAACGCCUUUCUUAACCACCACCAUAAAACUCCAUUAACAGAGAAACAUAAACGCAUUAUCAGCAGAACGAUUGAAAACGCCUUUCUUAACCACCACCAUCAUAUCUAUAAUCCAAAAAAACCUCAAAAUCUUGACUAUCUACCAGUUUCUAAAUCAAUCAGUUGUAUCUUUCCAAAUAAAUCUAACAACCAAAUCCGAAUCAGUUAUUUCAUAUAGCUAAAAAAAUCGAUAAACUCACUUGUAUCUGAUCAUAUCCGGGAAAACCAACACAUCUCCAUCCGAUUCACCACCUCCACCACACACCGUCAGCUUCGUCUACAACCAACAACAGAAAAUCUCAACAGAAUCUAAACGGUUUCGGUGUACCUCAACAGCGAAAUCAGCUCUCCGAUCCUUGAACGAUUUAGCGAAACGAUGCGGAAGACCUUCCGAUUCGACGCGAGGAAGCCACGUCUCGUGGCUCUUGUAGCAAAGGAACACGUGGCGACCGUGCGGAGCAACGGAGCUGGCGAGAGUGCCGCUGUACAUCUCCUGACGCUUAAAUCCGCAGAGCUCGUCUUCCGAGACCGCAGCAGCGUUGAUGUUCUCCACUACUUCAGUUUACGUGCGCGCAAGGUGUUCGAUUGAAUGCCGUGCCGUUUCAUUUUUGGUCGGUUCAGUUUCGGUUGAUUCAGUUUGUUCACAAUUCCACCGAAUUGAACGGCAAUUUUUAGUCCGGUUUAGUUUUCAGUUAGUUUCAAUUUAUAAAAUUUUACCAAGAGCUGUUUUUUCGGUUAGAUAUAAAUUUAAAUUUAAAACAAAACUUGGUUAUUUUCAAUUAAUUUUGGUUAGCUGGGUUAUUUUUAUCUUAAAAUUUUAAACUAAACGAACCAAGAACCGAAAUUAAACUGAACUAAAGCCAAAAUAUUCAAAGCUUUUAGAACUAAACCAAAUCAAAAAAUUUGGUUCGAUUCAGAGCUACCGCGGAGAGAUGUGAUUGUUUGAUGUAUUAUCUAUAUUAUUAAAAUUGAAUUGCAUCAUAUAUUUGUUUAGAAACAAGAAUAGCACUACACAUCAAUAUUGUUUGAAAACAUAGAUAGCAUUUUAAAGAAAAAAGAUAUGGCCUUUUAACAAUAUAAAGAAAAUAGAUUUGAAAUCAAUAUCUCAUCAAAUAUAUUUAGUUAUCUUAACUUAAAUACACGUAAUAAAUCCCAGAGAAAAGAUCUUACUUUUAAAUAUGGAAACAAUAAAAGAAUAACUAAUAAAUAAAUUAUGAUAAAUAUAUGAUACAUCUGCAAUGUAAAUUUAUAAAAAAAAAAUAUAACACUUAAACGGAAAAAAAAUGUAAAUUUAUAAAACAAAAAAAAUUAAUACCGCGAUACAAUUGCACUACAAAAUGGUGAGGUAUCUAAAAUAUAUAAUAUUCACAUAAAAACUAUAAAAUAUUAUACUGUUAUUACUUUUGUAAUAGGGUAGACAUGAAAUAUUAUAACCUCUCGGAUCCACCUCCAAUUGCAAUUAAGUGACGUACAAACAUAUUCAUGUUGUAUAUGAUUAAGUGUUUUUUUAACAGAAAAGUACUAUGGUUUCUUUCUUUAAGUGUUUCAGAAAUGAAUUCUAAAAACAAUUUCACAGGUUUGUUAAAUAUUUUUAUGAUCAGGAAAUUAUUAUCUAAAAUUACAUUGUUAUUAAAUUUCGAAUACUUUACGUAAGUAGAUUAAUAUUAAAAAUUUCAACAAAGAUAUAGUUGUACCAAACUUUUCUCCAAAGCUCCCUCCUACACUCACCUUCGCACGUUUGGGUGUCUUUGCUACCCUAACAUAAACCAUUCCCAUACACCAAAAUUAUCACCUCGAUCCUCUCCUUGCAUCUUCCUCGGUUACCCCCUUAACCAAAAAGGGUACCGUUGCUUCGAUCUUACUACCAAAAAGAUCAUCAUCUCCAGACACGUUAACUUUGAUGAAACGUGCUUCCCUUAUCCUUCUUCAAAAACCGAGAAGUCGCCAACUUAUGACUUCCUCGACAAAGACACAGGACCCUCUCCUCUGUUUCGUGCAAUUCUUCAAAAUCAGUCCUCCACUACCCCUCCUACUCCAGCUGUGAUACCCACUGUAUCACCGCAGCCAACUCAAGUUGUACCACCAACUAAUGAGGCUCCAAGGCACACCAUGACAACAAGAUCAAAACAUGGUAUUAAAAAGCCUAAACAGAUUGUCUCCCUCUUAUCAGAAUCCAAAUCACCUCUACCAAAAAGCUAUCUUGAUGCUCUCAAAGAUCCAAAUUGGAACCCGUCUAUGAAUGACGAGUACGAUGCUAUUAUUAAAAGUGAUACUUUUGAUCUUGUUCCGAGACCACCUAACACUAACAUCGUGCGUUCAAUGUGGCUACAUAAGCAUAAAUACAAUGCAGAUGGCACUUUUAAGAAACACAAAUCGAGGCUGGUUGCAAAUGGGAAAUCACAGGAGGAGGGCAUAGAUUUCACUGAGACUUACAGCCCCGUCGUCAAGCCUGCCACGAUCCGUCUGGUGCUACAUCUCGCACUAGCUAAAUCUUGGCCAAUCAACCAACUUGACGUCCAGAAUGCUUUUCUUCAUGGCAACCUUGACGAGACCGUCUACAUGUUUCAACCCCCCGGUUUUGUUGAUGAAACAAAGCCGAAACAUGUCUGCACACUUAAGCGAUCCAUAUAUGGUCUCAAACAAGCGCCAAGAGCUUGGAAUGCUCGGUUUGUUGCUUUUAUAACUCAACAUGGGUUUAACCAAUCUAAAAGCGACACAAGCUUGUUCAUCUACAGGAAAGGAGCAGAUCGCGCAUAUCUCUUGCUGUAUGUCGACGACAUCAUCGUGACAGCUUCCUCACCAACACUUCGAGACAGAACCAUAGACGCGCUUAAAAAUGAGUUCCCGAUGACAGACUUGGGACAAAUCAGCUCCUUCCUCGGCGUCUCAGCAAUCUUCAACAACAAAGGUCUAUUUCUGAAUCAAUCUAGAUAUGCUGAAGAAAUCAUAGAACGAGCAGGUAUGAAAGACUGUAAGCCCUGCACCACACCAGUAGAUAUGCAAUCAAAACUCUCGGAUAAAGAAGGCUCACCGCUGUCUAAUCCAACAGAGUAUAGAAGCUUGGCUGGAUCUCUCCAAUACCUGUCUCCCUCUUAUCAGAAUCCAAAUCACCUCUACCAAAAAGCUAUCUUGAUGCUCUCAAAGAUCCAAAUUGGAACCCGUCUAUGAAUGACGAGUACGAUGCUAUUAUUAAAAGUGAUACUUUUGAU